UACGAGGGGGGCUAGUGUUGUUCGGAAUCACUGGGCGUAAAGGGAGCGUAGGCGGGGGCCUAAGUUGGGUGUUUAAUUCCGGGGCCCAACCCCGGGCGUGCACUCAAAACUGGGUUUCUUGAAUAGGGGAGAGGUCGGUGGAAUUGGAGGUGUAGCGGUGGAAUGCGUAGAGAUCUCCAAGAACACCCGUUGCGAAGGCGGCCGACUGGACCCAUAUUGACGCUGAGGCUCGAAAGCAUGGGGAGCAAACAGG
rnacentral:rRNA from 1 species